AGGUGCGAUCAUACCAGCACUAAUGCAACGGAUCCCAUCAGUACUCCACUGUGAAGCGUGCUUGGGAGAGAGGAGUACAAGGAUGGGUGAGCUUCAGGGAAAUCCUCGUGCUGCUCCUC
rnacentral:rRNA from 2 species